GGGAAGUGGAGGUUGCAGUGAGCCAAGAUUGUACCACUGCACUCCAGCCUGGGGGACAGUGCAAUACUCAGUCUCAAAAAAAGAAAAAAACUAAAAAAGCCGAGCACAGUGGCUCACGCUUAUUACAGGAGCCACUACAAGUCUCCCAGCAUUUGAGAGGCCAAAUUACAGGCCUCCUAACACUUUGGGAAGCCAAGGCAGGCAGAUCACUUGAGGUCAGGAGCUUGAGACCAGCCUGGUCAAUAUGGUGAAACCCUAUCUCUACUAAAACUACAAAAAUGAGCCAGGCGUGGUGGCGGGUGCCUGUAAUCCCAGCUACUCAGGAGGCUGAGGCAGAGAGAAUUGCUUGAACCUGGGAGGCGGAGAUUACAGUGAACUGCGAUUUACACCACUGCGCUCUAGCCUGGGCGACAGAGCAAGACUCCAUCUCAAAAAAAAAAAAAAAAA